rnacentral:misc_RNA from 1 species
CAGCCCUCAAGCAACGCUUGGUGUUGGGCUCUGCCGCCGACCCGGCAGGCCCUAAAACCAGUGGCGGUGCCGUCGAGGCCCUGAGCGCAGUAAACAUCCUCGCUAUAGGGACCCGGCGGUUGCUGGUCACCCACCCCCACCCUCUCAGU